rnacentral:rRNA from 1 species
GACGAACGCUGGCGGCGUGCUUAACACAUGCAAGUCGAGCGAUGAAGCUCCUUCGGGAGUGGAUUAGCGGCGGACGGGUGAGUAACACGUGGGUAACCUGCCUCAUAGAGGGGAAUAGCCUUCCGAAAGGAAGAUUAAUACCGCAUAAGAUUGUAGUACCGCAUGGUACAGCAAUUAAAGGAGCAAUCCGCUAUGAGGUGGACCCGCGUCGCAUUAGCUAGUUGGUGAGGUAACGGCUCACCAAGGCGACGAUGCGUAGCCGACCUGAGAGGGUGAUCGGCCACAUUGGGACUGAGACACGGCCCAGACUCCUACGGGAGGCAGCAGUGGGGAAUAUUGCACAAUGGGGGAAACCCUGAUGCAGCAACGCCGCGUGAGUGAUGACGGUCUUCGGAUUGUAAAACUCUGUCUUCAGGGACGAUAAUGACGGUACCUGAGGAGGAAGCCACGGCUAACUACGUGCCAGCAGCCGCCGUAAAAC